UUAGGGUUAGCAGUGUGGUUAAGGUUAGGCAUUAGUGUUAGCAGUGUGGUUAAGGUUAGGGCUAGGCAUUAGUGUUAGCAGUGUGGUUAAGGUUAGGGUUAGGCAUUAGGGUUAGCAGUGUGGUUAAGGUUAGGGUUAGGCAUUAGUGUUAGCAGUGUGGUUAAGGUUAGGCAUUAGGGUUAGCAGUGUGGUUAAGGUUAGGGUUAGGCAUUAGGGUUAGCAGUGUGGUUAAGGUUAGGCAUUAGUGUUAGCAGUGUGGUUAAGGUUAGGGUUAGGCAUUAGGGUUAGCAGUGUGGUUAAGGUUAGGGCUAGGCAUUAGGGUUAGCAGUGUGGUUAAGGUUAGGGUUAGGCAUUAGGGUUAGCAGUGUGGUUAAGGUUAGGGUUAGGCAUUAGGGUUAGCAGUGUGGUUAAGGUUAGGGUUAGGCAUUAGGGUUAGCAGUGUGGUUAAGGUUAGGGUUAGCAGUGUGGUUAAGUUAGGGUUAGGGUUAGGCAUUAGGGUUAGCAGUGUGGUUAAGGUUAGGGUUAGCAGUGUGGUUAAGUUAGGGUUAGGCAUUAGGGUUAGCAGUGUGGUUAAGGUUAGGCAUUAGGGUUAGCAGUGUGGUUAAGGUUAGGGUUAGCAGUGUGGUUAAGGUUAGGCAUUAGGGGUAGCAGUGUGGUUAAGGUUAGGGUUAGGCAUUAGGGUUAGC
ensembl:lncRNA